ensembl:lncRNA
GACGGACCCAAGGUUUCAUCCUGGAUGGCAAAUACUACCGUCAUCCACCAGCCGGCGACGGAGAGCGCCCGUUGAACCCCAAUCAGCGAGAUGGGAGACACCUGGCUGGACAGCCAGGAAGACAUUUUAAAAGGAGCACGAGGACUGACAUUUGGGAGGAACGGGAGCGAGGAAGAAGGAAGCGCUCGGGUCCGCGAGCGACACGGGCCCACGGAGGCCAUAGAGACCGUCUAUCAUGGAUAUUUAACUGCAGUUCUGUGAGUAUCCCAACUUAACCAUGAAGAUGAACUGCAAACUGUAAGUCAUAAGUUUCUCAUUACUCUUGGGCACAUUGAUGUAUUUUGGCUUCCUGGUGAGUUAGCCCGUUUCCUGAUAGUUGAUCUGAGUAUUAAGGAUGUUUUAUUGGUUCAUGGGUUACUUAGGUGUUUGGUUUAUGUUUGUUUUAAUGAUUUGUUAAAAUGGUUACAGGCUCCAAGUUAUUGUUGUAAGCUGGAGUAAUGGGUUGGGUUCUGAUAUAAUCAGUCUUCUUUCCAGCUACUCUCCUGAGCUCUGCAUCUUCAUCACAUCAGUGUUGAUUUACUGAUGAGGCUGUGGUCUGAGUGAGCGGAGGUGCAUACUGGGAUACAGAGCUGUCUGAAGUCUACAGGACUGUAGACAAGCCCCCUAAGGGGAAACCGAGUGUUUGAGAAACCGUCGUGACGUCAGUGACAUGGACUGGAAUGUUCUUUAAAAUGGACUCAGGGAUUCAGAAGGAGAAACGCCAGGGGGAGAUGAGGGGGCUCCUCAUCUCAACGACUAAAACACAGCUUCAGUCUGACACGGAGAACCAUGGAACACAUUCAACAGUCCCCUCCAGGCAUCGUGACUCCUCAGGAACAGUUUCAUUUCCAUGAAGGUCUUAUUUGGGGCCAUCCCCAGAUGGAUCCUGCUCCUCAAGAGCCACCCCCUCCACUGGGUUGUCUUCUGAACAGAUGACCUCCUUCCUGUCAUCCGGCUGACUAAAGCUGUACUGUUUGCAUUUGUGAAGGCCCCUCAUUCAGGAAACCACUGGACUACAAAGACAUGACUUCAGAGACGUUGAAUCAACCUGGGACACAUUUUGUAGACGCCAAGCAUAAUCCAUCACCAAUGUGGGACGCCACUGAAGAAUGUUGUACAUAAGUAAACGUCUCUGGAGACAUUGGUUGUUCUGUUCUGGGUGCCCUGGCAGGAGAACUGGGGGGGGAUGAUGGAAUGUUAUUUGGCAUGAGGUUUUUACCCUGCAUGAUUGUUUGGCCUUUUAUGGCUCAGUGGUGUGUGUGUUUGGGUUUGACAUGAGAUGGAUGAUUUUUGAGCUGUGUGUGUGUGUGUCCCCCACUCACACCUGGCAUGGGGUUCUACUUGCCUGUCCUGGGUUCUAUGUGUGUCCGGCUUGCUUUGACAGUGAUUAUGUUCAUACAGGGGUCUGUGUGAUUGGCUUGGGAUAUUGGAAUGGUCAACUAAAUCAUACCUGAUGGACGGCCACACGUUUACUUAAGGGCCUCCAGUAGACAUGAAGAGCCCUGAGCAAUGCUCCGGAGCGAUAUCCAACACACUGGGCAGGAAGGAGUAUCCAAAUCAAGUGUAAAAGGGGCGUGUUCAGAUCAGUGACUUCAAACUAGGAUUUCACCAAUCAGGAUCAAUGGAGGAUGGACACCUAAAGGCAUUCCACAAGGAGAGUCUGACGUUGAAAAGGGACCUAAAUGGAUAUUCAAGAUGACCUUCAGACCUGUAAUGAGACGGCUCUUCCUACCUGGCUGGAUUGAUGGAGAGCCCUGUGGAUCUUGUCUUGCUCUCAGUUGCACGUCUUCUCAGGAUGAACUGUAUUUGUUUCGGACAGGACUAGCUGAACGAUUGUUUCCCUUAAAUCAGAACCAAUCCGGGAACUCUAGUGCGCUCGUCGAGCUGAAGUUGUGCUCUUCAGCUGAGGUGGUAAGGAAACCUAAACUGGGGCUUCAAGGUGUAAAGAGGAGAAUGUUUCAAAGUGUUCCAUGGUACUCUGAUGAAGACCGUCAUUGUGUUCCACUGGCUGAGAGGAAGAACCUCACAUCUUCUUCUUGGCCUUUCUCCUCUGAGAAUCCUGGCGCCAUCUUGAAGGAUAUUCCAGCUCAUGCAACUGAUGUCACGACAGAUUCUCAAACACUUGGUUUCUCCUGAGGAGCGCGUCUAUGGAACUGAACACUUCAGACGACACUGUAUCCCAGCAUGCAUCUCUGCUCACUCAGACCACACCCCCAUGAGUAGAAUGCAACAUUCUAGUGAUGGAGAUGUAGAGGGAGUAACGAGGGAGGAGACAAAGGUUAUUAGAACACAAUGGAAUGUCAAGUCUGUAAAUCUUUAAACCAUGAAGAUGGUUGGAUAGUUCAGGAAUUGGGCUUCUUUUUAUUAUGGGCAGUCCUUUCACUCAGAUGCCCGCUUCUCACUGGAGCUGUACAUGUGUUGGCUGGCUGGCGUGAUUUGGUGAUGAGGCGGUCAGGGUGACGUUGCAGGGCUAUGGUCGGUUCUCUGUGAGCUCAACGUUUAGAUUUGCUUUGUAUGGUUUGUACCCUGAAUAAUCUAGAUAAUUGUAAAAUGUAGACACGGUUUUGUAUUGAAUGAUUCCAGGAUUUAAUGUUUAAAGUUGUUGUGGGACGUACAUGGUAGUUUGGUUCUUCGUACGGUUUUGAGUGAUAUAACUUGUACACACUGGGUGCAUAAUAAUGUAAAGUACACUGAAUAGUAGUAAUGACUGACAGCAACAAACGGAUCUCCUCAAGGUAAGUCUGUUGGCUGUGUUUUAAUGAAGACCAUCGCUGGACUUCAGGAUCUUCCUCCGUUCAGCUCAAGGUGUCUGCCUCCUCACCCAGAGCAAGACCUCCACCUCCUCACCCAGAGCCAGACCUCCACCUCCUCACCCAGAGCCAGACCUCCACCUCCUCACCCAGAGCCAGACCUCCACCUCCUCACCCAGAGCCAGACCUCUACCUCCUGUCAGAAGUCUUCCAGAACAGACAAGGAACCCAUGGCUGAUGGAGGAGUUGUGCUGAAGGCCCUGCCUGGUGGAGGAGCUGGUGGAGGCCCUGCCUGGUGUAGGACGUCUGUCGUGGGACAGGACUCUGUCUGAGGAGAGCUGCUGGAGGAGCUGAGACGCUGGAGGACGACUAGGAAUCGACCAACAAGGAUUCCUCAACGUGUUUCUGGAGCGGAGGUGAGCUGGUAGGGGAGCCAUGAAUCUGGAGGAUGACCAUCACUCUACCAACAAGGAUUACUUUAGGGCCAGACUCGCGCUGUUUGUUCCAGACCAGGACUCUGGCUGAGGAGAGCUGAUGGAGGAUCCAAGACUCUGGAGGACGACAUCACUCUACCAACCAGGAUCCUCGCAGACACACCUGAGCUGAACCUCACCUGAUCUUGUUUGGUCGGGGUUAGACACACCUGAGCUAAACCCGCCCUGAUCCUGACAUCCUGCUGGUCCCGUCUCCUCAGUUCAUCUGCGCCUCGUCCUCCAGAAGACCUGCUGAGCUCAGCAGUCUGAGGCUGAUGGAUCAAUGACCUCCAGUGGGAGUGAUCUUCUUGACCCCACAUGUAACCGUGUGUUUCCACACGCCUUUCCCUCAUGUUUGUCACUAACCUCACUACUUCACUACUCUCUGCUGCUUCCUCUUUUCUUCCUUCUCUGUGGUUCGAACCUUUACACGGAAGGCGCGUCUUCCUGCCCUCAGAGGGUUCAGCGUUAGGGUUGAGAGUCAGGGUUUAGAGUCAGGGACAGAGCUGGUCAGGGAGGACUGCUUUUGCACAAACCUCUUCACUUCCUUUCGGAAUGGUGGUGACAUUUUGAAAAGAUUCAUUUGGGAAAAUGUUUUCCUCUGCUUUCCUUUACAAAAUUGUAUUAAAUUUCUGUCAAGUGCUUUUGUUUAGAUAUUAAAAUCCCACAUUGACUUCUACAUGUUUGGUGCGGUUCAUUUAAUUGUCCUUUAACUUGGUUAAUGUCAAGCUAAACUCCAGUAAUACAUUUAAUAUACAUGAUUGUUAUUCAGCAAUGUUCACAUUAUCCAUUUUGUAAAAAUAUGAAACCU